rnacentral:rRNA from 1 species
GACGAACGCUGGCGGCGUGCUUAACACAUGCAAGUCGAACGGAAAGGCCCUGCUUUUGUGGGGUGCUCGAGUGGCGAACGGGUGAGUAACACGUGAGUAACCUGCCCUUGACUUUGGGAUAACUUCAGGAAACUGGGGCUAAUACCGGAUAGGAGCUCCUGCUGCAUGGUGGGGGUUGGAAAGUUUCGGCGGUUGGGGAUGGACUCGCGGCUUAUCAGCUUGUUGGUGGGGUAGUGGCUUACCAAGGCUUUGACGGGUAGCCGGCCUGAGAGGGUGACCGGCCACAGUGGGACUGAGAUACGGCCCAGACUCCUACGGGAGGCAGCAGUGGGGAAUAUUGCACAAUGGGCGGAAGCCGGAUGCAGCAACGCCGCGUGCGGGAUGACGGCCUUCGGGUUGUAAACCGCUUUCGCCUGUGACGAAGCGUGAGUGACGGUAAUGGGGAAAGAAGCACCGGCUAACUACGU